UGUCUUCAAGCCUUGCUAUUAUCUUUCUUUCUUUCUUUCUUUCUUUCUUUCUUUCUUUCUUUCUUUCUUUCUCUCUUUCUCUCUCUCUUUCUUUCCUCUAUGUUAUUAAGACUAAAUACACUCAGUAUAGACCAUGUCUGUCUCCUCUGGUUCUCUUCCUGAGGUUUAUUCCAUUUUUUUGGAGGGGGGGGGGCUUGAUGGUCUAAGGACAGAAGGUGUUGAAUGUUGUAUAGAUUAUAAAGCACCUUGAGGCAAAUUGUAAAAAAUGUAAUUUGACUUGACUUGACUUGACUUUACCUGCUACACAACCUGUUCAGCUCUACAUGUUGGCUUUAAUACAUUUCAUUUUUAUGGGCAAACAGAAUCUGAUUAUGUUUCCAUUUGACUAAGCCUGAUCAGUGGAUUAUAAACGCAAUGUUAUGUAUUUCAGAUCCUCCUGUGGAAACAGAAUGCACCGUCACAGAAACCCACCGGGUGUACGAGGAUAUCAGAGAGGACAGACGGAGCAGAUCUCCUCCUGUGGAAAUAUCUCCAAUUUACACCAACGCCAAAUAUACCAAAACAAAUGGAGCUGAAACCAACAAUGAGUACAGCUGUGCCACAAUUGAAGACGACUCGAGUAACCUCAUCUACUCUGAGUUGAAUUUUUCCAACCGGACCGUUGACUCACCCAGCAGCGCCCUGCGUGGUGACAGUGAUAAUGUCGUGUACUCUGUGCCUCGGGUACAAGCGAGCUCUGAUAGCAGCCGUCCUGGAGAUGAUCCGCCUGUGUACUCGACUGUUCCUUAGCUCCAACGCUGCCGCCAACAGACAGCUGGUCUGAGUUCACUGUGUAAAUGAAUCUGUGAUAUGAUGUUGUAGUUCUGUCCUCAGUGACAUAAAUACAGAUGUGCUGCCUCAUCAGUUUGCUUCAGGCUAGAGCUGCUUUAACUGAAUCUAUCUCAUUUUAAGUUAAUUUCAUUAUACAUUAUUAAAGUAGUAUCUCUGUAUCACAGUAAGUUAGUUUGGUUACGGGCAACACAAGUAAUGUUUUAGUUAGUAUUAUUAUGAGAGUGUUGGUUUGUUUAAGAUCAAUUUUUGGUAAAGUUAGCAGGUUAGCAUUGUUAGCAUUCAUUAGGGAUGACUAUUCUGGUUAAAGGUUCAGUUUUCUUUUAUUUAAAUUCAUACAUAAAUAGAAACAAAUAAAUAAAUAUGAAACAUAAUUUCCUGUGUGUCGGUAAACAGGUGUGAUGUCUCCAUCCAAGGACUUGUAACAUAACGCUGUCAUAACCUGGGAAAAAUCCUGCUUGUCCAACCUUAACUUACGUAAGUUUCAAAGAUAACAGAAGCUAAACUACUAAACUCAUGGCUGUGUCCAAUCUCAGACCUUGUAUCCUUGGGAAUCCUAACUGGACCUCCAAUGUACACGAGACUGCCUGUAAUGGCUUGGUGUAAUGGACAAUACUAAGUUAGCAAUGUGAAGUCAGCAGCUUUGUUUACACAGAUCAAGGAAAUGUAUGCAUUUAAACCUGAACACACGCCGUUAUGUCAAGCAUGUGAUCUAAAAUGGAUUGUGGUAUUAUUGCGAUCACCAUGCUAAUGUCCGCGUUCAUGGUAAGUGUCAUUAUGUGUUAGCGUCGAGCUAACAGAUUAUGCAGCAUUUAUGUAUCUUUAAAAUCUGCCGUUCAGGUAGACGUGUUCUUGUCCUCUUCCCUGUUGUGUUUGGGUUCAGUCUUUGUUGUGUGGCCUGAGGCACAAAUUCAAUUUGUCUUCACUGUUCAGCAGUUUCUUCUUCUUUUCUGCUGGAUUUUGCAACAGCUGCUUACAGGGAAGAGUGUCGACAUGUCCUCGAAAAUGUAUUUCUAAACAACCCGCAACUUUUUUUUGUUUUAUUUUUGACUUCGACAAAGUCAGAAGUUUCAUGUAAAUUAACUUCUAAUUCUAAUUUAUAAUUUUUAAUCCAUUAUCAAAUCAUUCAAAUUAGAGUUGCUCUGUAUUAUCUAUUAUUAUUAGUUGCUCUGUAUGGCAAACAUUGUUUGACCAGAAAAUGUUUCCCUGUUAGAUAGGAAAAUGUAAGAAUAUAAACAGAUAUAUCAAUAAUAAUAAUAAUAUUAAUAAUAACAAUAGAAUAAAUAAGGAAGAAUGCAUAACAUCUGUUGUGGCUCACUUAAGGGAAGUAAGUGUCCUUGCUUUUUACAGUAAGAAAGAGGAACCAGAUAUCUGAUGUAAUCGCGAGCUACAAGCUUUUGUUGUUUUAUGAAGAAAGUCCUCAGACUGAAUGUUGAAACAUGGACAGUGAGAGAUUUGGACAUAAAGCAGCACACACUGGAAUAAGAUUCAUGUGCCAAAACAGGUUAAAAAAGUCACCUCAGAAAUAACUGGACUGCAGCUGAUUUCCCUGAGCACAGGAAGACUGUCAGAUGGAAUAAUGUGCAUUAGCACAAGAAGUAGAGUAACAUUUAAUUGCCUCAUAUUUAGUAUUUUUCAUAUUCUGAUAUGAGCAUUUUCAGGUUGAAUAAAUACAGUUUUGAGAUGUUUAUUUUACAUUUUAUGAAAUUAUACAAAGAUACUGUAGAAUUUGUGUGUUUCUGUGUUUUAUAUCAUCACUUUUUAUUAUUAUCUAUCUUUGGAAAACACAUUGAGGGAGGACCAUCAGUCACUAUCGUGCCAAGGUAUAAUCAUAAUAUUAAAAACAUAGAAACAUAAAAUAAGAGCACACGCACACAGAGGAACAUUUUGAAAAUCAGGUAAAAAGUGACAAGUUAGAUAAGUAGUGUCUACUCCCUCAGGCACCUCUCUAACACAAUAUUGUAUGGCAGACUACAUGACCACAGAUUUAUAGUGUUCACUAUAAACGUUUGGUGCAACCUGGGAUUGGAGGGUAAUGUGACUGAGGGUCACUGGGGUGCUCCCAUUGAAUCAUUACCCUGAUAAACAAAUUGAAAAAAAAGCAUUCUGAUCGCAGUUUAAUUUGACCCUUUUUAGAUAUACAGCGACCCCUGGUGGUUGUAGUGUUGGAGUAUAAGGGUCCAGAAUGAUGCUUCUAUUCAUUUUAUUUCUCAUUGUCAGACCUUCUACUAGAGAUCCUUUUAAAAACAACUUCCAUUUACGCUUAAUAAUUCAUUUACUAACCCUUUAAUAAACAUUCUACUCAAAGGAUACACAUUUGUUCUGCAAGGAGAAUAAUACAACAGGCCCAUUGUUUGCCUACUAUGCAAAGAGGCCGUAUGAUACUGAAGAAGUUUGUCUAUGUGCAACAAGAAGCUACCGUAUUUAAACAGCUUCAAGUCUGAAGCUUAGAAUAAACAAAGAGGAAACAAAAAUGUACAUAUUACUUAUGCUCAUCAUGGCUGCGUGAGGCAACUGUUUUACAUCUUCUAUAUAUGUUUACAGUCCACCUUUACCUUUUCAACCAACUGCAUUGAAAUAUUUUGUGGUAAUACUGCUGCUCUUACUAUCUUUACUUUUACACUUACAUAUUGUUCCUUUAAGUAAAGUAUUUACUACAUUAAAAAAUAUUAUAUGUCAGCAGACUUCAGGGAAACACGUUAAAUUGAAAUACGGUCUUCUCUGACAGUCUGUGUGUAUUCUCAUUUUAAAUUUACAUGCCAGUGCAGUACUUCUGUCCUGUAAUCAGAUGUUGUUUAGUGCAGGGUGGUGUGUCGCUGUGUGACCAUGAUUAUUUUCACUAAAAGUAACCAUUGUGAAACAAUCAGGAAAUAACAUUUUAUAUCUCUACAUUAUGCAACGAUGAUACUAAUCGUUAGCAUAGUUGCAGCCCUCAGAAUGUCUCAAACAGAUAUAGGUAAUAAUUAUUGCUCACCUUUGCCAAUUUUUAGGAACUUCCUUUAAGAUAUUGAAGAUGAAAUAAAAUUAUAUUAGAUGCUUUAUAUUCCAGUGUGUAACAUUUAGGAGGAUCUAUUGUCAGAAAUGGAAUAUAAUAUUUAUAACUAAUUCUUAGUGUAAAAUCACCUGAAUAACCUGAGUGUUUUUGUUAAACUGUGUAGUUUUAUGAGUAUAUCCUAAUUUUAAAAUGUAUGACAUUGUUACUAAUUGUAUUGCAGUAUUGGCAUUCUGACCCCAUUUUCUCUGUCAGGUUACCCCAAUAAUUACUGUCCCCUGUAAUCAUUAAACACUUCAAUCAAUAAAUAUAAACAACCUUGGGGGUGAGAGAAGGGCAGACAAUAUGUGACAUCAAUAAACAUUCAUGUUUUUGCAUUCAUUUGAAUGGCCAGGAUCAUUUAAAUUUAAGAGUUAUUAACAAUAGUUUUCACAUUUUUACACUGCAACAGAAAACUUGAACAUCACACUGUAUGUGGAAGCAGCCACAGCAACUACACAGUUAAUAACACUGAACUAAUGCAGAACAACUGCAAGGACAGUGAGGACACAGACACUUCAUAAAGGAGAAGAGCACACAAGUUAGUGUUGCUACAUGCAGAGCCCUGCACGUCCAGAAAUGGCACUAGAGGGAUACCUGCAGCAAAUCAAAGAAUCUUCUCUAAGUCAGCAAUCAGAAGCUGUUUGUAUCAAGUAUGCAUCAGUUCAAUAAGAAUUCAUGUGCAAAAUAACACAGAUACUGAGCAGAUACAGAAAAGCAACCAACUAAAACUAAACAUUUUAAACAUCAGAGCACCACAGACAUUACUCACAGGAGAGGAGUGAGAUCAGGAGAGAGAGGGAGAGACUUCCUGGUGAAGUUUCACAAACAAAUGCAAAUUCUCUGUCAGUGACAGGACAGUAUUCAUCAAAAGCUGCUAGUCAGGUUCAUUCCCUACGUCCAGAUCUGCAAAACUAAAUCUAUUUCUGACUGGCUGUUUUUUGUGUAUGCAAAAACUGAACUUGGUACUACAGAAAGGUGAAUGAAAACCCCUCAGUAAGACGAUAGAAUAGCUUCUCAUGGUGCAGUGUACGUUAUUGCAUACCUACUGUACAUAUAAACAGCAAUGAACAGCUUGUACACAUGGGUUUCCUCCCACAGUCACACACAAACAAACACUUUUCUGCUUUAAGCUCCUGUUUAAAUUCGACAUAAAUAUUCCAUGACGUCAUGCCUCUGAGCUCACACUGCCACUCUUUUAGCCUCUGAUCAUCGGGUAGUUUUAACCAGUUCAUGUUGUUGAGCCAGAGACCUGCAGUACCUGCUUAACUUGCAGGACCCACGGCGACGCAUCUCCACCUGUGUAGUACAGGUGGAGAUCCGUUGCCAUGGAAAAGUAGUUUAUUUAUGAAGCACGUUUCAUACACAAAGGUGCUGUAAAGUGUAGUUAAAAACAAGACAGCUCAAAGUUAGAACAACACAAUUCAAAUUGAAAUACAACAGAAUUGCCGAUUCAAAAGCACAAUAAUAUUAAUAGAGCGUUUUCAGUCUGGAUUUUAGAACUGUAAUGGUUGUGAUGUUCCUAAGACCAUCAGGUACCACUAGCAGUCCACUCCGCAGAGACCUCAGAGGUCUUGCAGGGUCAUACAACUCAAGCACAUUAGCUAUGUAUUCCAUGUAAAGAUUUAUUAUUAAGUGAUAAAACUUAGUGGCAACCAAUGGAGAUUUAAGAACUGUGUUGAUGAACAAACACAGCAUUAUACAGUAUAUUCAAAUUUGAUAGGCAAAUAAUUGUUGCCUUGCACAAAUUUGCAUUAAGUCAAAAAAUACUGAAGCACUUUAAGCUUGAUACACACACAUACCUUUAGAAUAAACAGAGAGCCAACAGAGAUGGACAUAGUUCUUCUGCUCAUUAUCACUGCAUCAGGCAAGUAUCUUAUUUGUUUAAAUAUAUUUAUAUUAUUUUAUUACUCUACAUUACCGUAUCUA
rnacentral:lncRNA from 1 species